UACGUAGGGUCCAAGCGUUAUCCGGAAUCACUGGGCGUAAAGCGUGCGUAGGUGGAAGUUUAAGUGUGGUGUUAAAUCGUGUGGCUCAACCAUAUCGAUGCAUCGCAUACUGGACAUCUAGAGGACAGCAGAGGCGAGUGGAAUUCCUGGUGUAGCGGUGGAAUGCGCAGAUAUCAGGAGGAACACCAAUAGCGAAGGCAGCUCGCUGGGACGUUACUGACACUGAGGCGCGAAAGCGUGGGGAGCGAACAGG
rnacentral:rRNA from 1 species